AGAUUGAACGCUAGCGGGAUGCUUUACACAUGCAAGUCGAACGGCAGCGCGGACUUCGGUCUGGCGGCGAGUGGCGAACGGGUGAGUAAUAUAUCGGAACGUGCCCACCCGUAGCAGGGGAUAACUACGCGAAAGCGUGGCUAAUACCGCAUACGCCCUACGGGGGAAAGGGGGGAUUCUUCGGAACCUCUCACUAUUGGAGCGGCCGAUAUCAGAUUAGCUAGUUGGUGAGGUAAAGGCUCACCAAGGCGACGAUCUGUAGCUGGUUGAGAGGACGACCAGCCACACUGGGACUGAGACACGGCCCAGACUCCUACGGGAGGCAGCAGUGGGAAUUUGGACAAUGGGGGAAACCCUGAUCCAGCCAUCCGCGUGUGCGAUGAAGG
rnacentral:rRNA from 1 species